AGAGUUUGAUCCUGGCUCAGGAUGAACGCUAGCUACAGGCUUAACACAUGCAAGUCGAGGGGCAGCAUGGAAGAAGCUUGCUUCUUCUGAUGGCGACCGGCGCACGGGUGCGUAACGCGUAUCAAACCUGCCUCAUACUCGGGGAUAGCCUUGCGAAAGUAAGAUUAAUACCCGAUGUUGUUAUGUUACCGCAUGGUGAUAUAACCAAAGAUUUAUCGGUAUGAGAUGGUGAUGCGUCCGAUUAGGUAGUAGGCGGGGUAACGGCCCACCUAGCCAUCGAUCGGUAGGGGUUCUGAGAGGAAGGUCCCCCACACUGGAACUGAGACACGGUCCAGACUCCUACGGGAGGCAGCAGUGAGGAAUAUUGGUCAAUGGGCGGAAGCCUGAACCAGCCAAGUAGCGUGCAGGAUGACGGCCCUAUGGGUUGUAAACUGCUUUUAGUUGGGAAUAAAAAAGAGGACGUGUCCUCUAUUGUAUGUACCUUCAGAAAAAGGACCGGCUAAUUCCGUGCCAGCAGCCGCGGUAAUACGGAAGGUCCAGGCGUUAUCCGGAUUUAUUGGGUUUAAAGGGAGCGUAGGCGGAUUAUUAAGUCAGUGGUGAAAGACGGUGGCUCAACCAUCGUUAGCCAUUGAAACUGGUAGUCUUGAGUGCAGACAGGGAUGCUGGAACUCGUGGUGUAGCGGUGAAAUGCUUAGAUAUCACGAUGAACUCCGAUCGCGAAGGCAGGUGUCCGGGCUGCAACUGACGCUGAGGCUCGAAAGUGUGGGUAUCAAACAGGAUUAGAUACCCUGGUAGUCCACACAGUAAACGAUGUAUACUCGCGGUUUGCGAUAUAAUGUAAGCCGCCAAGCGAAAGCAUUAAGUAUACCACCUGGGGAGUACGCCGGCAACGGUGAAACUCAAAGGAAUUGACGGGGGCCCG
rnacentral:rRNA from 1 species